rnacentral:rRNA from 1 species
GAUGAACGCUGGCGGCGUGCCUAAUACAUGCAAGUCGAGCGAACAGACGAGGAGCUUGCUCCUCUGACGUUAGCGGCGGACGGGUGAGUAACACGUGGAUAACCUACCUAUAAGACUGGGAUAACUUCGGGAAACCGGAGCUAAUACCGGAUAAUAUAUUGAACCGCAUGGUUCAAUAGUGAAAGACGGUUUUGCUGUCACUUAUAGAUGGAUCCGCGCCGCAUUAGCUAGUUGGUAAGGUAACGGCUUACCAAGGCAACGAUGCGUAGCCGACCUGAGAGGGGGAUCGGCCACAGGGGAACGGAACAACGGUCCAGACUCCUACGGGGGGCAGCAGUGGGGAAUUUUCCGAAAGGGGCGAAAGCCUGACGGGGCAACGCCGGGGGAGUGAUGAAGGUCUUCGGAUCGUAAAACUCUGUUAUUAGGGAAAAAAAAAUGUGUAAGUAACUAUGCACGUUUUGACGGUACCUAAUCAGAAAGCCACGGCUAACUACGU